AGGAAAUCUCAGGUCCCAUGAAUGCAGCAUCCAAAUGAAGGAAAGGCUCGUGCUUUUGUGCCUUGCUGUCUGCCCUCAGAGUACCAACCACCCCUCUCAAGGAUAAGCUAUUUCUUGCAAAUUUAGCAUCCUUUAUUGCUAGUAUCUGCUUUCAAGCCGGGGGUGAUAUUUCUGAAUCAUCUGGCAUUAUUUACAACAGCUAAUGAUAGACAGAGUUUGAAGUAGAACUAUAGAGCCCCAAUCCAUCCUUUUCCUUGCUCCCAGAUGUCUCUGACCCAGGAGAUAGCAGCUUAAGCCCAUAAUGGCAAAAAAAAUACAACUUUUCCUCAGAACCAGCUCUGGAAGUCAGAAGUCCAACAUCAAAGUGCCAGCAGGAUUCAGAUUCGCUUCUUCUGUGACCUCCAUCCUUGGCUUAGUGUGUUCCAUGGGCUCAGAAGCAGUGAAUCCUCCCUCUUCUCAGAAGCAGAGCGCUUCUAUCAAACAGAGCUGAAAAUGUGAAGAACAAAAGGUCUGAAAUGUCACACGAUAAGAAAAAUUAUUUUUAAACUCUCAGUAACAGGAAAUGGAAGGAACUGUAUUCAUAGAGAAAGAAAAUGUAGAGGACAGACGAGGUCCAUGAGGGAUUUGAUCAAGACUGAUGACUGGGGUUUUAAUCCAAGCAUGCAUCCAUGGGCUAUGAUUGUGCUGAAUCUAGAUGAGCUUCAGUGACAUCAGAGGGAACUGUCCACUCCUCUCCACCUCCAUCACAAAAGCUAAUAUUAUUAACAUCAGCCAGAGGCCAGGAAAUGAUAGGUACAAGCAACAGACAUGAAAAGGAAGAGAACAAUGGCUCAAAGAUGUGUCCAAUCAACCUGAAGCAAAUGCAUUUCUAAUUAAAGAUUAUGAAUAUGGGUCACCCUUUAG
ensembl:lncRNA